rnacentral:rRNA from 1 species
GACGAACGCUGGCGGCGCGCUUAACACAUGCAAGUCGAACGGAAAGGCCUGCUUUCCCUUGUGGAUUGCGGGUACUCGAGUGGCGAACGGGUGAGUAACACGUGAGUGAUCUGCCCCCAACUUGGGUAUAAGCCUGGGAAACUGGGUCUAAUUCCCGAUAGGACUGCAGGGUGGUGCCUGUGGUGGAAAACGAUUUUCUAGUGGUUGGGGAUGAGCUCGCGGCCUAUCAGCUUGUUGGUGGGGUAAUGGCCUACCAAGGCGGCGACGGGUAGCCGGCCUGAGAGGGUGGACGGCCACAUUGGGACUGAGAUACGGCCCAGACUCCUACGGGAGGCAGCAGCGGGGAAUAUUGCACAAUGGGCGGAAGCCUGAUGCAGCGACGCCGCGUGGGGGAUGACGGCCUUCGGGUUGUAAACUCCUUUCGACCGAGAGGAAGCCACCUGGUUGGAAGGGUGGUGACGGUAGUGGUAGAAGAAGCACCGGCUAACUACGUG